rfam:Cuculus canorus isolate BGI_N303 unplaced genomic scaffold scaffold221, whole genome shotgun sequence.
AUAAUUUCUUGGCCUUUUGGCUAAGAUCAAGUGUAGUAUCUGUUUUUAUCAGUUUAAUAUUUAAUUUUUGUUCAAGGUCAGGUUGCAUGGGGCCUUGGACAGCCUGAUCUAGUGGGACAUGUUCCUGCCCGUCGCAGAGGGGUUGGAACUAGGUGAUCUUUAAGGUCCCUUCCAACCCAAACUAU